UAGGGAAUCUUCCACAAUGGACGCAAGUCUGAUGGAGCAACGCCGCGUGAGUGAAGAAGGUUUUCGGACCGUAAAGCUCUGUUGUUGGUGAGGAAGGAUAGAGGUAGUAACUGGCCUUUAUUUGACGGUAAUCAACCAGAAAGUCACGGCUAACUACGUGCCAGCAGCCGCGGUAAUCGUAGGUGGCAAGCGUUGUCCGGAUUUAUUGGGCGUAAAGCGAGCGCAGGCGGAAGAAUAAGUCUGAUGUGAAAGCCCUCGGCUUAACCGAGGAAUUGCAUCGGAAACUGUUUUCUUGAGUGCAGAAGAGGAGAGUAGAACUCCAUGUGUAGCGGUGGAAUGCGUAGAUAUAUGGAAGAAUACCAGUGGCGAAGGCGGCUCUCUGGUCUGCAACUGACGCUGAGGCUCGAAAGCAUGGGUAGCGAACAGGAUUAGAUACCCUGGUAGUCCAUGCCGUAAACGAUGAGUGCUAAGUGUUGGGAGGCUUCCGCCUCUCAGUGCUGCAGCUAACGCAUUAAGCACUCCGCCUGGGGGAGUACGACCGCAAGGUUGAAAC
rnacentral:rRNA from 1 species